ACCUACUAGUUUGCAAUGCAAACGAAAAACAAAACAAAUGAAACAAAAAACAAGGGAAAUAUAAUUUUUUUUUUUUUUUUAUAUUCUUAUUCAUGACAACAUAUUCAUAUUCUUAUUUUUCUCUCUCUCUCUCCCCAAUUUCCAAAUGGCGAACCCCUUUCGUUUUUAUGACCAUCAUCUGCUCCAAACUUGUUCCGGCUGGAACAACCGGAUGCGCCCAAGUUUCCCCACCAAAAACUUCCAACGUCAAAACAACACGGGUCAAAAAAAAGGAGAAGGGGAACUCUACUAAGGCUUGACUAUCCUACAUUGAAAAUCCAUUUGAACACGUAACAAGACUCCUCGUUCCUCACAACCGGUUUAUCUCUGUGCCCAGCUGCUUUUUAUUUACCCAUGAGUUCCAAAAAGAGAGGGGAGAAGGAACCGGCGGAUGAAGAAGCCCUUUGGCUUUUGCUUUUUUUUUUUUUCUUAACGUGAGGCAGAACGUAUUCACGCUCUCCAAAAUAACCCUGUAAGGCUAGGGGCCUGGAUAUUUAUAUACAUAUGAAGAAAAAAAAAAAAAAACAAGUUUCCCGGUUAUGUAUUUAUUUUUUUUCCUUGUGACCUCUUUAUAAAACUUUUUCUUUUUCCACCAGAUCAUUUUGCUUCUCUUUUUUUCCCCUUCUUUCCCAAACCUUUAAGGUCCACCACCGAAUUUCUCUGUCCUCUUCUGCUGUGUGUGAAUGUUUCUCUCCCUCAACAACUCGUGGGUUCUCCGCAAUGCUGGAACACAACAAAAAAACUUUGCCCAACCACCAACACACAACAUCGGGACAAAGAGACGAUAGUGCCCGAGGGAGGGAGUCUGUUGGCUACUCAAAAA